rnacentral:rRNA from 1 species
GGUGUUAGACCCGUUGAAGUGUGCAUUGGUGAUUAUUGAUGCCUCCUAUGAGUCGGAUUGUUUGAGAAUGCAGUCCAAAUUUGGUGGUAAACUCCAUCUAAGGCUAAAUACUUGUAUGAGUCCGAUAGCAAACAAGUACCGUGAGGGAAAGUUGAAAAGAACUUUGAAGAGAGAGUUAAAUAGUACGUGAAAUCGCUUAGAGGUAAACGAGUGGAGCCGAAAAGAUCGGGUAGGAUUCAGUGGUGUGUUUGGCGAUGAUUGUGUCUUGUAACAACCGUAAUAGGUAUUACAGGAUCGAUAUUGUUUGUCGGGCAUACUAUGCACUUUCUAUUCGAUUGGACUGUGACCAAUAGUGUUGUUUUUCUGUCGUAAAGGUGAAGGUGAUCAGUUGCUUGCAGCUGGUUUUAUAGCUCUUUACAUGGUCAAAUUAAUGUAUUGGUGAAUUUGCAAUCACUCAAUGUUGAUGAUGCUUCAUAUAUGUCACUCUGUGGUUGGCUACAUGUAGACUGCUAUAGGGUGGUGUGUGUGUCGUAUUGUUGAUGGAGUGGUUUAAAGUCACAGUAUAAUGUAGGUUAUCUACUCGUCCCGUCUUGAAACACGGACCAAGGAGUUUUAUAUGAUCGCGAGUCAAAGGGCUUUACGAAACCCCAGGGCGCAAUUAAUGUAAAGGUUUACUUCGGUGAGCUGAGAUAUGACCUGUGUGAAUUCAUAGCACAGUGCAAUAUCGACCCGUCUAAAGAUGUUCGCAUCUGGGCGGAGUUUGAGCGAUCAUGUAGAGACCCGAAAGAUGGUGAACUAUGCUUGUGCAGGUUGAAGCCAGAGGAAACUCUGGUGGAGGACCGCCGCGGUUCUGACGUGCAAAUCGAUCGUCGGACAUGAGUAUAGGGGCGAAAGACUAAUCGAACCAUCUAGUAGCUGGUUCCCUCCGAAGUUUCCCUCAGGAUAGCUGGCAUUUGAUGACGUAGUUUGACCUGGUAAAGCGAAUGAUUAGAAGUAUUGGGGGCGAAAUGCCUUCAACUUAUUCUCAAACUUUAAAUGGGUUCGAUGUGCGACUCGCUUCAUUGGAGUUACACGUUGAAUACGAAUGCCUAGUGGGCCAUUUUUGGUAAGCAGAACUGGCGAUGUGGGAUGAACCAAACAUUUGGUUAAGGUGCCUAACAUCACGCUCAUGAGAUCCCACAAAAGGUGUUGGUUGAUAAAGACAGCAGGACGGUGGACAUGGAAGUCGUCAUCCGCUAAGGAGUGUGUAACAACUCACCUGCCGAAUCAACCAGCCCUGAAA